GGCGCACGGGUGAGUAACGCGUAGGUAAUCUACCCUUAUAACUGGGAUAACAUUGGGAAACUGGUGCUAAUACCGGAUACACUUCUUUACUGCGGGGUAAAGGAGGAAAGGUGGCCUCUUCAUGAAAGCUACCGUAUAGGGAUGAGCCUGCGUACCAUUAGCUAGUAGGCGGGGUAACGGCCCACCUAGGCAACGAUGGUUAGCGGGUCUGAGAGGAUGAUCCGCCACACUGGAACUGGAACACGGACCAG
rnacentral:rRNA from 1 species